rnacentral:rRNA from 1 species
UACGGAGGGUGCGAGCGUUGUCCGGAAUCACUGGGCGUAAAGGGCGCGUAGGUGGCGCGACAAGUCAACGGGGAAAGCUCGGCGCUCAACGCCGAGUCGGCCGUCGAUACUGUUGGGCUUGAGCACUGUAGAGGCUAAUGGAAUUCCGGGUGUAGCGGUGGAAUGCGUAGAGAUCCGGAAGAACACCGGUGGCGAAGGCGGUUAGCUGGGCAGUUGCUGACACUGAGGCGCGACAGCGUGGGGAGCAAACAGG